UGUGAUUCUAUUAAAGCCUUUCCUAAAUGAGAGUUCCUUGGAUGUAUGUGUAUGUACAGUAGUAAAAAGAUGAAUUUAGGCAAUUGCUGCGAACGUUUCCUUUGGUUCUCUUGUGCUAGUGAUGAUGUUUGUUUACACCUGGAUCCCAGAGGGAAUGUCUCCUUUGACCAGGUCUGCAACAGCAUGAAGGUGUUGAUGAAAACAAAUGCAAUGGGCAAAUGAGAAUGUAUUCCUGGAGCCAAGGAGCAGAGAGCAAGCUUUGUGGCUCUCUUGUUAGGUUUAAAAGUACUGCCAAGGAGAAGGGAGACUGCUGCUGAGAUUACGGAGACUCAGGUAAACUGGGGGCAAUCUGUCUUGUUUGGGAAUAGAUUUUAAUGCAGCAGGUGGCAGUUGGUGGACCUCUAGGUGAGUUGAUGAAGUCUGUGUCCAUUGGUGUCCUUGCUCAGCUGUGAAGGAUAGCAAACCCAUACACCUUGUCCUUGUAGGCCAUGUAAGUAGCAGUGGAAUCCACAGUUUACCAGUGGAAUGACAACAGCUAAGGAUGAAAUUACUUGCAUGUGCUAAUUAAAUCUUUCUUUAUAAUGCAGUAAGCAAAAUAUUGGGGAUUCGGGAUGGGUUGAUUUCUCUGGGCUUCUGGAUUCCAACACUACUCAGAGAACUCCUAUACUGGGACACCUAUAUCCUUACUCUUUUUCCCAUUUGUCAGGUGGGAAUAGUUUCUAGAAACUCACUCAUCCACCACAGGGUGUGUGGCAGAGAAAAGCAACGUUGGGCUGACAAAAGCUGGUGUUUGCCGGCAGUGAGUGCCAGAGAUGACAAAGCGAUUGGGCUACGGCCGACUGCGCUAUUCAGCCGGAAGGAUGGGAGUAUCUGAGAGGCAGUUUCAUCGGGACUGGCGCAACUAUCCAUUCACCUUCAGUCUCCUGGCCCUCUGCUGUAACUCCUGCACCCUUCUGGGAAUAUUAAUGUUUCAUUUCUUCCAGUCAGAAGCAGGUUCAUCCCAGGACUGUUUGUCAAGGCAUGGCAACAAGUAGGGCAGACGACAACAAGCAGCGGCGGUUCUUCCUGUUGAAUGCAAAGGAGCUGUUCCGUGAGGACAGAGCCAAAGGUGGGAGCCCUGCCUGUGAGAGCAGGAAUGCGUCAGCAGGAGUGAGCUGUGAAUCAGUGCACGCCUCCUAAACGUCAGCUGUCAAGGAAUAAAACUGAACUGAGGGGGAAAGGAGCAUUUAUUCCCAGCAGGAAAAGAGAGGAACGCUGAAAUGAAGGAUUUUCUCCAAUUAUAGCACUCCUCAGGCAGCAAACCCACCUCUGGGUUUCCAGCAAACCUACCAGGCCUACAAACCAAACCAAUCAAGUAAUGUCAAGGUGUAUUUACUCUCCUAGUAACCUGCUGACCCAUUCCCUGUCUGUACCAUGCUAGUGGCUCACAAGGAUGCACCCCGGUGCUGUGUGCUGGGAAGGGGCACAGCUGUGAGCCCAGGUGGGGCAAGGUGACUGAAUGGCUCCCAACUCCUGCUCUCCAUCCAUCAUAGCAUGGAAAGGGGGUGCUGAAGAGGAGCCUGUGUUGGAACAGUGGUGCUUGGGGACUGUGCCUGUCCUUUGUGCUGGCUGCUCUCAACGAGGCAGAAAAUUAAUUGUAAAGAGGAACUCUCACACACCUGCCUGCAGCUGAAGAGCAGCUUGUGUCAGAGAUCACCUAGACUUGACUGCUGUCAAAUAUUGGCUGCAAGUGAGAUGGAUUUCCUGAAUGCUGUGUUUUACUUGGUGACAUAUCCUAAACCUUUGGGAAGAGCUUUUUCAAAUAAGCUUUUCUCAAGUUUUUUGCAGAUGUCUUUUUUUUUCUUUCUUUCUUCUUAUAAAGAGUAUUAGGCUAUCGCAGCACUGGAAAUGCUGAUAAAUUGGUGUAAAAGUCUUGUCUGCUAUUCCUUUCCCUAUCUAAUGUUCAUCUCUGCACUGUCCUCAGAGCAUGUCCUGCCCACAGUUCCUCUGUUAACUUGUCCCUGCUCAUAACACCCUGCACAAAACCCACAACUGGGCUCUUUUUGGUCUGAUUAAAAUCAUGCUGUGCAAUAGGAAAUACAAAUUAGCUCUGGCCUUUGGGCUCCUGACAAGUUUCCAGUGCUGCUUUCAGCACCACGCAGAUUGUGUAACUCCAUCCGUGUGUCCUCCGUGUGGUGACGUCUCCCCCUCCGUCAUGAGCUGGGCUGGCUGCCACACAUCCAGGUUCAGCUGUUAAUACUUCAAGCAGCUUUUAGAACUGAAGGAGGAAGAGAGAUUGCCAGCAGCCUUGUGAAAUGCGGAAACCAGCUUUUUCUUGCUAGGAGACAGUGUGGGAAGGGGCAAAAAGAGGGUUUUUUCUAGGUAAUUCCCCAGAUCUUGAUGUUUGUGCAAAUAUCUCCCUGUCUAAUGAGCAAUUGGGGAGCUCAGCACCAGGACAGCCAAUGCUUCAGUACAGGAUUAACCUCUGAAGGAAGAGCACAGUAGCAUCUUAUACAAACUGUGGCUUAAGUUUGCCUGGCCAUGAAGCACACAGCACUUUCCUGCCUCCUCCAAGGAUUCAAGCCGGGCAACUAUGUUGCAUCAUUUCGGCAUUGCUAACAGAAGGGCUCAGGCAGCAGCUACCGUGUCAUGUCUUCAACAGAAACCUUUAAGUCUCGGCAACUUCCUCUGAGGAUGCUGAAGCAAACACUGUCCAGACCUGCAAGUGAACAAGUUACAAAUGACAUCUCUGGUUCGAAAUGGUGCGUGGGCGCGACGUGGGUGAAUGUUCCCUGCCCUGGGUGUUUUCUAAAGGUCUCUGAAGCAUGAGGCAUGACUGAAUGACUUGUGUUUUCUUUAAAUGACGAGUGGGUGAAUCUUGAAUCAUUGGUCUGCUUUUAUUUUUGUUAGAUGUGUGUGGGCUGACAACAUGACUCAGUAUUUUCUCUGCAGAUGCAAAGAUUGUACUGCCAAUUCUCGGUAUGCUUCAGACAGUUUCACACAGAGAACUGGAACGCUUUUUCAGUCCAGAGCUUUGCUUUUCGGCAGUCUUAAGCCUCUUGAUGUGAAAAUAAAUAAGUAAUUUUAAAAAUGAGUGCUUUGCCAGAAUCUGCAAAAAUACACCGAAGAAAUGGCCAAACAUGGGGAAAGUACCUAUACCUCAGUGUUUCCCCAAUAAUUUGUCUGAUUUUUUUCAUGUUAUUCUGGAAAUGGCCAUUAACAUCUGAUUUCUCUUUGUGAUUCUCCCUAGCCUCAGUUGCUGCUGGGCCAUCUCUCUGUCUGCUGAGUAUCAUCUCUGGUGUUUAUUUAACCACCCUUGCCCUGCUGGGUGAGAGCCACCAUCCUCGGACUGAUGGCUACACCUCCUGAAACACAACACAUGUGCAUUUUUAUGGCCAAUUUGGACAAAGUCAUCCCUCCAGAUGGUAACUGCAACUUCUAGAUAAGACCUGACAUGUGACAACCCAAGAAACACCAAAUUGAGGAGGGAAGGAAGGAAUUGUCCAUUUUCAGACGCCAGCGUGGCUACAUAUACUGACACUGUUGCACAAACACAAACAAUUUUAUCUGGAACAGUUGCCUCUUGGUAGUUGUUCCAUUACCUGUAAUUGAUUAUGCCAGAGCUUGCAGCCUCUAUGAUCAGAAAGCAACUUCCUCUGUGUGCUUUUGAAUCAGAUUAAUAAAGGGAAACAAUAUUUCUACUGAGAAA